AAAACUUUAGUGGCGGACGGGUGAGUAACACGUGAGAAUUUACCUUUAGGAGGGGAAUAACAGUUGGAAACGACUGCUAAUGCCGCAUAUCAUAAAUAUGAAAGAAGAAAUUCGCCUAAAGAAAAGCUUGCGUCUGAUUAGCUAGUUGGUAAGGGUAAAGGCCUACCAAGGCGACGAUCAGUAGCUGGUUUGAGAGGACGACCAGUCACACUGGAACUGAGACACGGUCCAGACUCCUACGGGAGGCAGCAGUGGGGAAUUUUCUGCAAUGGGCGCAAGCCUGACAGAGCAAUACCGCGUGAGGGAAGAAAGCCCACAGGGUUGUAAACCUCUUUUAUCAAGGAAGAAGUUCUGACGUUACUUGAUGAAUAAGCAUCGGCUAACUCCGUGCCAGCAGCCGCGGUAAGACGGGGGAUGCAAGUGUUAUCCGGAAUCACUGGGCGUAAAGCGUUUGUAGGUGGUCUAGUAAGUCUAUUGUUAAAGCUUGAAGCUUAACUUCAAAAAUGUAAUAGAAACUAUUAGACUUGAGGAUAGUAGGGGUAAAGGGAAUUUCCAGUGGAGCGGUGAAAUGCGUAGAGAUUGGAAGGACCACCGAUGGCGAAGGCACUUUACUGGGCUAUCUCUGACACUAAGAGACGAAAGCUAGGGUAGCGAAUGGGAUUAGAUACCCCAGUAGUCCUAGCUGUAAACGAUGGAUACUAGAUGUUGCGUGUAUCGAUCCAUGCAGUAUCGUAGCUAACGCGUUAAGUAU
rnacentral:rRNA from 1 species